rnacentral:rRNA from 1 species
UACCCUUGGUCAGGUUGAAGUUCAGGUAACACUGAAUGGAGGACCGAACCGACUUACGUUGAAAAGUGAGCGGAUGAACUGAGGGUAGCGGAGAAAUUCCAAUCGAACCUGGAGAUAGCUGGUUCUCUCCGAAAUAGCUUUAGGGCUAGCCUCAAGUGAUGAUUAUUGGAGGUAGAGCACUGUUUGGACGAGGGGCCCCUCUCGGGUUACCGAAUUCAGACAAACUCCGAAUGCCAAUUAAUUUAACUUGGGAGUCAGAACAUGGGUGAUAAGGUCCGUGUUCGAAAGGGAAACAGCCCAGACCACCAGCUAAGGUCCCAAAAUAUAUGUUAAGUGGAAAAGGAUGUGGCGUUGCCCAGACAACUAGGAUGUUGGCUUAGAAGCAGCCAUCAUUUAAAGAGUGCGUAAUAGCUCACUAGUCGAGUGACACUGCGCCGAAAAUGUACCGGGGCUAAACAUAUUACCGAAGCUGUGGAUUGUCCUUUGGACAAU